AACGAACGCUGGCGGCAUGCCUAACACAUGCAAGUCGAACGAGACCUUCGGGUCUAGUGGCGCACGGGUGCGUAACGCGUGGGAAUCUGCCCUGGGGUGCGGAAUAACUCGGAGAAAUCCGUGCUAAUACCGCAUAAUGUCUUCGGACCAAAGAUUUAUCGCCCUGGGAUGAGCCCGCGUAGGAUUAGCUAGUUGGUGGGUAAAGGCCCUACCAAGGCGACGAUCCUUAGCUGGUCUGAGAGGAUGAUCAGCCACACUGGGACUGAGACACGGCCCAGACUCCUACGGGAGGCAGCAGUGGGGAAUAUUGGACAAUGGGCGAAAGCCUGAUCCAGCAAUGCCGCGUGAGUGAUGAAGGCCCUAGGGUUGUAAAGCUCUUUUACCCGGGAUGAUAAUGACAGUACCGGAGAAUAAGCUCCGGCUAACUCCGUGCCAGCAGCCGCGGUAAU
rnacentral:rRNA from 1 species